GACAGAGGCCUCAAGCGUUAGGCGGAAUCACUGGGCUUAAAGGGUGCGUAGGCGGCGCGGUAAGUCGGGUGUGAAAUCUCGGAGCUUAACUCCGAAACUGCAUUCGAUACUGCCGUGCUUGAGGACUGGAGAGGAGACUGGAAUUUACGGUGUAGCGGUGAAAUGCGUAGAUAUCGUAAGGAAGACCAGUGGCGAAGGCGGGUCUCUGGACAGUUCCUGACGCUGAGGCACGAAGGUCAGGGGAGCAAACGGG
rnacentral:rRNA from 1 species